UACGUAGGGUGCAAGCGUUAAUCGGAAUUACUGGGCGUAAAGCGUGCGCAGGCGGUUUUGUAAGUCUGACGUGAAAUCCCCGGGCUCAACCUGGGAAUUGCGUUGGAGACUGCAAGGCUAGAAUCUGGCAGAGGGGGGUAGAAUUCCACGUGUAGCAGUGAAAUGCGUAGAGAUGUGGAGGAACACCGAGGCGAAGGCAGCCCCCUGGGUCAAGAUUGACGCUCAUGCACGAAAGCGUGGGGAGCAAACAGG
rnacentral:rRNA from 1 species